rnacentral:tRNA from 1 species
GGGAGUGGUUGGGCCCCGGUGGGCUCCCCGGUCUUCAAAACCGGUGGUGGGCGCUGGCAGCGGCCACGGUGGGUUCGACUCCCAUCCACUCCCG